UACAGAGGGUGCAAGCGUUGUUCGGAAUUAUUGGGCGUAACGGGCGCGUAGGCGGUGCGGUAAGUCUGUAGUGAAAUCUCUGGGCUCAACUCAGAGUCUGCUGCAGAAACUGCCGUGCUUGAGUGUGGGAGAGGUGAGUGGAAUUCCCGGUGUAGCGGUGAAAUGCGUAGAUAUCGGGAAGAACACCCGUGGCGAAGGCGGCGCUCUGGGACGGUACUGACGCUGAGACGCGAAAGCGUGGGGAGCGAACAGG
rnacentral:rRNA from 1 species